rnacentral:rRNA from 1 species
AGCGAACGCUGGCGGCAGGCUUAACACAUGCAAGUCGAGCGGGCAUCCUUGUGGUGUCAGCGGCAGACGGGUGAGUAACGCGUGGGAACGUGCCCUUCGGUUCGGAAUAACUCAGGGAAACUUGAGCUAAUACCGGAUACGUGCGAGAGCAGAAAGGUUUAUCUGCCGAAGGAUCGGCCCGCGUCUGAUUAGCUAGUUGGUGAGGUUACGGCUCACCAAGGCGACGAUCAGUAGCUGGUCUGAGAGGAUGAUCAGCCACUCUGGGACUGAGACACGGCCCAGACUCCUACGGGAGGCAGCAGUGGGGAAUAUUGGACAAUGGGGGCAACCCUGAUCCAGCCAUGCCGCGUGAGUGAUGACGGCCUUAGGGUUGUAAAGCUCUUUUCUCCGGGACGAUAAUGACGGUACCGGAGGAAUAAGCCCCGGCUAACUUCGUG